rnacentral:misc_RNA from 1 species
CCAAUAGCGUAUAUUAAAGUUGUUGCAGUUAAAAAGCUCGUAGUUGAAUUUCGGGAUUAGUACGCUGGUCGUGCCUUCGGUAUGUACUGGUGUUACUGGUUCCUACCUUCUGACGAACCGUCAUGUCAUUAAUUUGGUGUGGCGGGAAAUCAGGACUGUUACUUUGAAAAAAUUAGAGUGUUUAAAGCAGGCUCGCGCUUGAAUACAUUAGCAUGGAAUAAUGAAAUAGGACGUUCGAUCCUAUUUUGUUGGUUUCUAGGAUUGACGUAAUGAUUAAUAGGGAUAGUUGGGGGCAUUAGUAUUCAAUUGUCAGAGGUGAAAUUCUUGGAUUUAUUGAAGACUAACUACUGCGAAAGCAUUUGCCAAGGAUGUUUUCAUUAAUCAAGAACGAAAGUUAGGGGAUCGAAGACGAUCAGAUACCGUCGUAGUCUUAACCAUAAACUAUGCCGACUAGGGAUCGGAUGAUGUUAUUGUUAAUGACUCAUUCGGCGCCUUACG